GGUUAAUACUUUUCCCUCCUAAGAAAAUGAGGAAUUGGGAAGCUGGAUCCAAGCUUCUGGGAGUAGGCAGGACAGGGACAAGCCAUAGGCAUGUGGGGAGCAUGAGUAGGGACAGAUGGAUAACACUGUGAGGAACCAUUUGGGGAAUUUAUCCACAGAAAUCAGGCUAGCAAGAAAAGGAUGCUUUCUGAUAUUUUUGGUGCUUUGGCUCCUUGGCUUGGAUUGGAGAAGGAGUAAAGGAAAGGACAGAAAUAAACAGUAAGAACUAGAGUGAAGGAAGAGGGGGUGAUUUUAUGUUGUCUUUUCUUCUAUUCUUCUCAGCCUCGCUUCAAAGUUGAGCCUUUUUCAACUAUGAGUCUGGGUCUGCCCAUCUAUGACAGGCUCAGGUCUCUGAUUCUAGAAAGACACAUUUCACUGGUAUCCAGGAGACCUGCUUCCCAGUGAUGAGAGAUGGAAUCUGAACUGCAGGAUGGUAGUAACAGCCAGUGAACCAAGCAGGUUGAAGCAAAGCAUGACUGCAGUAAAGAGCCCCCAGGCACAACCAUCCUCAAGCAAGGACUCCACACAGGACAGCAAUCAGCCCUGCAUGGCAAGCCAGAGCCCCGACUAUGAAGCUUGCCAUCAGCACUUUGGGCAGUGUUGCUUCCAGGAAGUGGAGGUGGCUCAGAUCCCAGGUGGUGAAGCCUCCCCAGGGGUCACCGAACUCUGAGUGUCCUCUGAAGUUCCACUAGUAAGUUAGCAAAAUGUACCAUUUCCUUUGUACUAUUCUUGAAGGUGGGGGUCUGAGAAAUAAUUCAUUCUCUUGGUCUGAAAAAAUAAAAGGAUUGAGUUCCUGUGGUAUUUUUAAGAGCAUUAUGAUUAUCUCUGGGUGGUUGGGCAAGGAAACAUUCUCUCCCCCCGCUAUAUAUAUAUACCAUGCACAUAUUUCUUUAAAAUGAAAAAAAAAAAAACUUUUUAUUUUAAAAAAGCUAUUGUGUCAGGAGGGAUCUAGUAAAAGAAACUUUUUAAUACAGAGACAGGCAAUUGGCUAUGGUAGUGGUCCUGAAACCUGACUCACUGGAGGGCAUGUUAAACAGAACCCCAGGCCUCACCCCAGAGCUGCUGAUUCUUUAGAUCUGAGGUGGAGCCCAGGAAUAUGCAUCUCUGGUGCGCUGCCAGGUGCUGCUGGGGCUGCAGGCUUUGGCACCCCACUUACAACCUCUGCUCUGUGACUGUUAUGUGGAGACUGCCCUCUGGCAGUGGCUGUUUUCUCCCCUAGCCUGGCUUACUCCAAAGGUCUCUGGGAACCUUCCACAGAAGAGGGGUCUCAGAGACCAGGAGACAGGUGCUGGGGCCCAGGUGAGCUGUGUUUGACACCUUUUGUCUCUUUAAGUUUCCAUUUCACCUUGCACUCCCACUCUCCCUAAAAAUCUUUUUUUCUGGAGAUGUUAGAAAAAUUAUGUGGUCCACUGAGUUUCUCUUGGGUUGUCCCUUGUUCUGUCCACUGACAUCAUGACAUGGCUCUUUACCCACCCUGAUCCUUCUCUGGGAGGCCUGACCUCUCACUGCCUUGCUCUCUCCCUGAUUUGAUAACCAUGGUCCUGCUCUGCCCCAGUGACAACUGGCCUGGAUCAGAGAACACGCAGAGACCCCAGAUAGUAAGGGAAGCAGGGCAAGGGAAAAGCCUAAGACUUCUUCCACAAGGGAGACUAGAGUGAAAGCCCACAAGACACCAGCAACUGGGGAAGAAAAAUCAAGGGUGAAGCACAAGAGCCUGACUCAGCAGAUGGGACAGAGGCAGGCAAGACAGAGAUAUCAAGAACAAAAGAGAACUGGAAAUGGGAUGAUACAGAGGAAGAAGAAAUUAAUAAGCCUCUUCCGAGGUCCCAGUAAGUCUCUGGGUGCUCCGAGCUAAAAAGAGGCUGGGCAGGCACGCCAGUGUCAGGAAGGCAACAAGGAGCUUCUCCAGGGAGAGUAAGGAGA
rnacentral:lncRNA from 1 species